rnacentral:rRNA from 1 species
CCUACGGGUGGCUGCAGUGGGGAAUCUUGCGCAAUGGGCGAAAGCCUGACGCAGCGACGCCGCGUGAGCGAUGAAGGCCCUCGGGUUGUAAAGCUCUGUGGAGAGGGAAGAAUAAGGGUACGUUAACAGCGUGCUCGAUGACGGUACCUCUUUAGCAAGCACCGGCUAACUCUGUGCCAGCAGCCGCGGUAAGACAGAGGGUGCAAACGUUGUUCGGAAUUACUGGGCGUAAAGCGCGUGUAGGCGGCGGCGCAAGUCGGAUGUGAAAGCCCAUGGCUCAACCAUGGAAGUGCACCCGAAACUGCGUUGCUAGAGUCUCGGAGAGGAAGGUGGAAUGCUUGGUGUAGAGGUGAAAUUCGUAGAUAUCAAGCGGAACACCGGUGGCGAAGGCGGCCUUCUGGACGAGUACUGACGCUGAGACGCGAAAGCGUGGGUAGCAA